UAAUGAUAUCUUCUUAGCGUUAACGCACUGGAUCCCAUUAGAACUUCGUAGUUAAGCAUGCUUAAGUUAGAGUAGUAUUGGGAUGGGUGAUCGCCCAAGAAGUCCUAGUAUUUUAUAUG
rnacentral:rRNA from 1 species